UCAUCGGGCUCAAUCUCGGUUCUCCGGUCUAAAAGAUCGAAAACUGACUUCAUCGCUCGACCGCCCUUGAUGAAAUCAGGAGCAAGAGUUAGAGUCUCGGCUGCACCAUUCGCGGAGACCAUGAGAACCAUGAACACCCGUAUAGUCUUUGAGAAGUCGGAGAUACCGUGCUUAACGAGCCAAGAUGCAUACCAAAGGCCAAUAGCAUAAGAAGCAUAGAGCAGAAACUGAGCUAUCCCGAACCCAAUCCCGGCUAUCUGUCCCUUCCAGAAACAUCUGCGAAGCGGCUUCUCGAGACUUAUCGUAAAAAGGUUGACAAUUUUCGCCUCGGAGUUGAACGCAGCCACCGUUCUCAUAUUGGCUACCGCCUCCCCUGCUAACUGUGUUGCUUUCGCAUGAGCACCUUCCAAGUCGCCCGAAAAUCCUUGCAUAAACAUUUUCUACCUGCAAAACAGUAGCUGCAACCACCAGUGGGAAAACAGCAACAAGAACAAGUGCAAGACGCCACUGAAGGACAAAACCGGCGGUGCAGGCCACCAACAUGAGCGCCGAAUUCUGCAUAAUCACCGAAAUCCGAUCACCGAUUGCCGACCGGACAUUAUUAGCAUCGAGAGACAACCUAGCCGCAAUUCUUGAGCUCUCAUUCUCCUCCUGAUCGAAC
rnacentral:lncRNA from 1 species